UAAUAAAAGUGUUUUAUGGCACUUUUCAAAACAAUCCAUAUCACCCUUGUGUGCAAUUGUUUUUUUUUUUUAAAUAAACACUUUAUUUUUUAAUUGCCCAAUUUAUCUGAAGAUCAGUAUUAUUAUGAAUUAACUUAUUCAAAAUA
rnacentral:misc_RNA from 1 species